rnacentral:rRNA from 1 species
UACGUAGGGGGCAAGCGUUGUCCGGAUUUAUUGGGCGUAAAGAGCGUGUAGGCGGCUAGGUAGGUCCGUUGUGAAAACUCGAGGCUCAACCUCGAGACGUCGAUGGAAACCAUCUAGCUAGAGUCCGGAAGAGGAGAGUGGAAUUCCUGGUGUAGCGGUGAAAUGCGCAGAUAUCAGGAAGAACACCAGUGGCGAAGGCGGCUCACUGGCCCGAUACUGACGCUGAGGCACGAAAGCGUGGGGAGCAAACAGG